rnacentral:misc_RNA from 1 species
UCUCCGUUGGUGAACCAGCGGAGGGAUCAUUACCGAGUGCAAACUCAUAACCCUUUGUGAACCUAUAUCUGUUGCUUCGGCGGCUCGCUCUCGGGCGAGCCCGCCGGUAAUAUCAGUAUCUCUGUUUGAACCCGACGAUACUUCUGAGUGUUCUCAGCGAACAGUUAAAACUUUUAACAACGGAUCUCUUGGCUCUA